ensembl:lncRNA
AUCAUGUUGGCUUGUCCAGGCAAGAGAACACUGAUGUGCAAACACAGGGCUGGCAGUUACUGACCUUUAAAUCAUGUCUGAAUACUCUCUGUUCCUGCUCUGUGUUUAAGCAAGGUGGUUUUAAAAGGAAAAGAUAGCCAGCCUCCUGGCCACAAGGCUCCUUGAGAGGCUUUGUAACAGCUGCCUGAAAAUGACCCAAGGGAGGUCUGCAGUCCCUGCUAAGGACCACUCACCAAGAACAGACCUGGAGCAACCAUGAUUUCAUCCUCACUCAAGUUCUGUGUAGAAUUACUGCCCUAUCAUCUAUUCCUCUCUGAAGUGGAGCUGCAGAAACCUGUGGAGCUUGGAAGGAACUUGCUGCAAGCACAGCCAUCCCUUCCUAGCAAUGCUUUAGGGUACGGAUCUGUUGCCCUUCUCUGUUUCCACCUUGUAACUAUUGGACAUGAGAAACUCCACAGGAGUAGGAUGAGCUUCUCUGCUCCCAUGAGAUUUUUCACUCACCGCUUUACAAAAUGUG